rnacentral:rRNA from 1 species
GACAGAGGGUGCAAGCGUUGUUCGGAAUCAUUGGGCGUAAAGCGCACGUAGGCGGCGAUGCAAGUCGGAUGUGAAAGCCCAGGGCUCAACCCUGAGCUUGCAGUGGGUACGGGCAGACUAGAGUGCGGUAGGGGAGACUGGAAUUCCUGGUGUAGCGGUGAAAUGCGCAGAUAUCGGGAAGAACACCCGUGGCGAAGGCGGCUCCCUGGAACGGUACUGACGCUGAGACGCGAAAGCGUGGGGAGCGAACAGG